AAAGGAGUGUCCUGAUGACGGGGAUACAAUGUUAGGGAAUAUCUCUUGUAAAAAGAGAAGUUUGAUUGUACUUAUCUACAGGGAUAUUCAUUUUGACCUUAACCACUUUUUGCAUGGGCGUACUGUUUUUUCCUUAUAGAUAAUUACCAUGGCAAGUGGGCUACGAAGAUUUCAUCCAGAUCCUGGAGGAAUUGUGAAUCAAGUCAUGACAUGCAAAGUCAACACACUGAAGAACUAUGGUGUGUUCUCUAUUGUUAUCACUAACCAUUCUCAUUUUGAUGAAGGUCAAGAUUCGAGGACAAAUCUUUUUGAAGAAAGGGGGGAUGAUGUAAUCCUAGAUGGCCCAAAAUUAGUUCCAAAGAUGCAAUUCUACAUUAAGGAAUAACCCCAUGGAAAUCUGGACUCCUACAAAAUAAUUAUCCAAAAGUUUGCUGCAGCACAAU
rnacentral:lncRNA from 1 species